rnacentral:tRNA from 1 species
GUGUCUAUAGCUCAGAUGGAUAGAGCGUUAGCCUCCGGAGCUAAAGGUCUUGGGUUCGACUCCCAAUAGACACG